rnacentral:rRNA from 1 species
AACCCUCGCUGUGUGUUACAAGUGUCACGACGGUACUGGCCGGUACUAAAACCGGAGGAAGGGUGGGAUGACGUCAAGUCAGCAUGGCCUUUAUAUCCGUGGGCUACACACACGCUACAAUGGCCGGUACAGUAGGUAGCGAAGCCGCGAGGUGGAGCCAAUCCACAAAGCCGGUCUCAGUUCAGAUUGCAGGCUGCAACCCGCCUGCAUGAAGAUGGAGUUGCUAGUAACCGCAGGUCAGCUAUACUGCGGUGAAUACGUUCCCGGGGCUU